CGUGGUGCUCCCCUUUGCCUCUUUUGCGUUCAGGCCCUUCUGCUUUGUCACGUCUCCUCUCUUCUAAAGUUUAGACGUCUAUUGUUUAGACGUCUAAUUGGUAGAUUGUCUACUUUCCGAUUUAGAUUUUUCCGGCGGUUCUUUGUACUGGACGUCGAAGUUCUGCUGAACUAGUUCAUCGGAACGCGUGGAUACUCGUGGAGAGAUCGUACCUUCGAUCUUGACGGGCGGACUACAUGAUCAACUACUUGCAGCGGUUGAUCGUGACGGGCUGACGGAUGACCGUCAAAUUGGAUCGCGGGCGCAGCAAGAUCGAGCUGGGAUAAUUCUCGCGGCUGGGAGGUAUAACCUAGCUGCAGGAAUCUACUACAGGCUUCUCCGACUAUCUACUUCCGCUACGGUUAUCGGUACGUGAUCAAUCUAUCACACCCGCAUAGUGAUCUUGGUUGCUCUGUUCGUAGGAAAAUUUUAAAAUUACGCCUACGUUCCCCUUCAGUGGUAUCAAAGCGAUCUAUGCGUAGAUGUGAUAUGAUCUAGAGCAUAUAUGAUAUGCGGGCGUUGCACAAGUGUUGUGUGGGUAUUGUAGAUUGGAUCUAUAAUUACCUGAAUAUCAUAUUAUCCCUUGCUCCUUGCAUUACUCGUAUAAUCCGGUGGCACGUGGAAUUUUGCUACAAAGCCUGGUUGUUUCUGCCGGCCUUCAGCGAUGGUAACAAGUAAGCCCUUGCCUAAACGCGUUACCAUUUGUCGUGCCCUUGGUUGCAACUUCAGGUACUUUGGGUUUCACGGUAGCUGGUGAAAUCUUGGGUGCAAGGUAGAGAGGGUUGUGGGCGAACUCUUCGUCCACAAUGGAUGGUGCAUACAGGUGAUACCAUGCAUACUGAAACGAUGAUAUGACAUAUCGCGCCUUAUGUUUCAUAGGUAAUAAACGGUUUGUUUCGCAACCUUAGAAGCCACAUAAAAUCUGCAAACCAAAUUAGACGCGAUCCCCUUAGGGCCCACUCGGUACUGAUCUAAAUUCUUCCGGCGGUUCUUCGUACUGGACGUCGAAGUUCUGCUGAACUAGUUCAUCGGAACGCGUGGAUACUCGUGGAGAGAUCGUACCUUCGAUCUUGACGGGCGGACGACAUGAUCAACUACUUGCAGCGGUUGACCAUGACGGGCUGACGGAUGACCGUCAAAUUGGAUCGCGGGCGCAACAGGAUCGUGCUGGGAUAAUUCUCGCGGCUGGGAGGUAUAACCUAGCUGCGGGAAUCUGCUACAGGCUUCUCCGACUAUCUACUUCCGCUACGGUUGUCGUUUACACUUAUAAUUUGUGUCACAUAAGUCACACGUCGACGGAGUAAUGCUUGGUCAAAGAAAACAACAUACGUCCUAAUUUAAGGAAUCGAGUGAGUAUAUCAUUUGAGCUUCGGUCAAUUAACACUCGAAUGUACCUAGAGACUGCAGAUCAUCCAAAAUCGGUUGGACAGAUGCAAUGUUGUACUCCAGCAAUGAUAACGAGUUGCUGGACUGGAAUUUUUUGUCUUUUGCAAUGGUUACCAAAAGUAUAUUUGUACCAGUAUUGCUUCGACAUUUUUAAAACUACCAUCAACUUUUUAUAAAAUUCAGAAUUUAUUUGAACCAUUAAAUAAUUUGUACAAGCAACAAAAUAUGUUAGCAUAAAAAUAACAACUUCAUUCCCAUCUCAUUCCCAUUAGUUCUCUUCACUGUCACAUGGUGGAAUGCUCAGCACAUGGAGGGCCCUGUGCUUUUCUCUCAUUGGUGGAAGUGAUGCCGGUAGAUACCCCUACCUGUAGAAAUGACUUUACCAUGAGAUUAGUUCUUCUUGUAUUCUUCUGUACUCGUGAGUUGUGAAGAAACUACAGCGAGUCAGGGACACGCACGUAGCGCACUGAACCUAAAACUUGCAAAAAAAAAAAAA